GUAAGUAAGCUACUAAGGGCGUGCGGUGGAUGCCUAGGUGCCAAGAGGCGAUGAAGGACGUGGGUGGCUGCGAAAAGCUCCGGGGAGCUGUCAACCGAGCGUUGAUCCGGAGAUGUCCGAAUGGGGAAACCUAGCGCUGCGAAUAGCGGCGUUACCACCAGCUGAAUCCAUAGGCUGGCUGGAGCUAACCAGGGGAAGUGAAACAUCUCAGUACCCUGAGGAAGAGAAAACAAUGAGUGAUUCCCGAAGUAGUGGCGAGCGAAACGGGAACAGCCCAAACCGGAGUCACGCAAGUGGCUUCGGGGUAGUGGGUCCACGGUAGGACUUUGACUGGCUAGCGGAAGGCGCUGGAAAGCGUCACCACAGAGCGUGAGAGUCGCGUACGCGAAAGCUGGUUGGAGCCGAGUGGGGUACCCAAGUACGGCGGGACACGUGCAAUCCUGCCCGAAUCUGCCGGGACCAUCCGGUAAGGCUAAAUACUCCUUGGCGACCGAUAGUGAACUAGUACCGCGAGGGAAAGGUGAAAAGAACCCCGGUAAGGGGAGUCCAAAGAACCUGAAACCGCAUGUCUACAAGCAGUCCGAGCACUACGGCGCAAGCCAGUGCGAGGGCGUACCUUUUGCAUCAUGAUUCGGCGACUUAAUAUACGUAGCGAGGCUAAGCCGUUAGGUGGAGCCGGAGCGAAAGCGAGUCCUAAGAGGGCGAUUCAGUUGCGUGUAUUAUAACCCGAAGCGGGGUGAUCUACACAUGGCCAGGUUGAAGUGCGGGUAACACCGCAUGGAGGACCGAACUCAUGAAAGUUGAAAAUUUCUGGGAUGAGCUGUGUGUAGGGGUGAAAGGCCAAUCAAACUCCGUGAUAGCUGGUUCUCCCCGAAAGAUAUUUAGGUAUCGGCUCGGGUAAUUCAAUACCGGAGGUAGAGCACUGGAACGGCUAGGGGUCUCACCAGAUUACCAAACCGUACCAAACUCCGAAUGCCGGUAAUUGUUAUCCCGGGACGCAGUCAGUGGGUGAUAACGUCCAUUGGCAAGAGGGGAAUAACCCAGACCGACAGCUAAGGCCCCCAAAUCUAGUCUAAGUGAACACUAGAAAGGAUGUGGCAGGUCAUUGACAACCAGGAGGUUGGCUUAGAAGCAGCCAUCCUUUAAAGAAAGCGUAAUAGCUCACUGGUCAAGACAGGCCGCGCCGAAAAUGUAACGGGGCUCAAGACUAGUGCCGAAGCUUCGGGUCAUGCG
rnacentral:rRNA from 1 species